rnacentral:rRNA from 1 species
UUGGAGGGCAAGUCUGGUGCCAGCAGCCGCGGUAAUUCCAGCUCCAAUAGCGUAUAUUAAAGUUGUUGCAGUUAAAAAGCUCGUAAUUGAACCUUGGGCCUGGCUGGCAGGUCCGCCUCACCGCGUGUACUUGACCGGCCGGGCCUUUCCUUCUGGAGAACCUCAUGCCCUUCACUGGGUGUGCUGGGGAACCAGGACUUUUACUUUGAAAAAAUUAGAGUGUUCAAAGCAGGCCUUUGCUCGAAUACGUUAGCAUGGAAUAAUAGAAUAGGACGUGCGGUCCUAUUUUGUUGGUUUCUAGGACCGCCGUAAUGAUUAAUAGGGACAGUCGGGGGCAUCAGUAUUCAAUUGUCAGAGGUGAAAUUCUUGGAUUUAUUGAAGACUAACUACUGCGAAAGCAUUUGCCAAGGAUGUUUUCAUUAAUCAGUGAACGAAAGUUAGGGGAUCGAAGACGAUCAGAUACCGUCGUAGUCUUAACCGUAAACUAUGCCGACUAGGGAUCGGGCGAUGUUCUCAUUUUGACUCGCUCGGCGCCUUACGGGAAAC